GAUGAACGCUGGCGGCGUGCCUAAUACAUGCAAGUCGAGCGAACAGAUAAGGAGCUUGCUCCUUUGAAGUUAGCGGCGGACGGGUGAGUAACACGUGGGUAACCUACCUAUAAGACUGGGAUAACUUCGGGAAACCGGAGCUAAUACCGGAUAACAUUUAGAACCGCAUGGUUCUAAAGUGAAAGAUGGUUUUGCUAUCACUUAUAGAUGGACCCGCGCCGUAUUAGCUAGUUGGUAAGGUAACGGCUUACCAAGGCGACGAUACGUAGCCGACCUGAGAGGGUGAUCGGCCACACUGAAACUGAGACACGGUCCAGACUCCUACGGGAGGCAGCAGUAGGGAAUCUUCCGCAAUGGGCGAAAGCCUGACGGAGCAACGCCGCGUGAGUGAUGAAGGGUUUCGGCUCGUAAAACUCUGUUAUUAGGGAAGAACAAAUGUGUAAGUAACUGUGCACAUCUUGACGGUACCUAAUCAGAAAGCCACGGCUAACUACGUGCCAGCAGCCGCGGUAAAAC
rnacentral:rRNA from 1 species